CCCUCUGGCAAAAUGCCAGGUGCCAUCUUGACUUGUUUACAGACCCUAACAAUUAAGGAAACUGGCUACAACUCUGGCAAAGUAGCAUUUGUGCCAAUUUCUGGAUGGAAUGGUGACAACAUGUUGGAGCCAAGUGUUUAUACUCUUGGUUCAAGGGAUGAAAAAUCACCUGUAAAGAUGGCAGUGCCAGUGGAACCACACUACUUGAAGCUUUAGAUUGCAUCCUGCCACCAACUCGUCCAAUUGACAAGCCUUUGCAUCUGCCCUCCCAGGAUAUCUACAAAAUUGGUGGUAUCAGUACUAUCCCUGUGGGCCAAGUGGAGACUGGUAUUCUCAAGCCUGGUGGUCACCUUUGCUCCAGUCAAUGUCACAACUGAAGUUGUGCACCAUGAAGCUCUGAGUGAAGCUCUUCCUGGAGACAAUGUGCUUCAAUGUCAAGAAUGUGUCUGUCAAAGAUGCUCAUCAUGGCAAUGUUGCUGGUGACAGCAAAAAUGACCAGCCAAGAGAAACAGUUGAUUUCACUGCUCAGGUGAUCAUCCUGAACCAUCCGGGCCAAAUCAGGGCUGGCUAUGCCCCUGUACUAGAUCGUCACACAGCUCACAUUGCUUGUAAGUAUGCUGAGCUGGAAGAAAAAAAUUGAUCACCAUUCUAGUAAGAAGCUGGAAGAUGGUCCUAAAUCCUUUGAAUCUGGUGAUGCUGCCAUCAUUGAUAUGAUUCCAGGAAAACCUAUGUGUGUCUAGAGCUUCUUGGACUAUCCUCCUCUGGGUCAUUUUGCUGUUCAGCAUAUGAGGCAGACAGUUGCUGUGGGUGUCAUCAAAGCAAUGGACAAGAAGGCUGCUGAAGCUGGCAAGGUCACCAAGUCUGCCCAGAAAGCUUAGAGGGCUAAAUGAAUAUUACCCCUAAUACCUGCCACCUCAGUCUUAAGUGGAAGAACAGUUUGUCUCAAUUGGCCAUUUAAGUUUAAUUGUAAAAGACUGGUUAAUGAUAACAAUGCAUCAUAAAACCUUUGGAAGGAAAGGAGAAUGUUUUGUGGACCAUUUGUUUUUUGUGUGUGUGGCAGUUUUAAGUUGUUAGUUUUUAAAACUAAUACUAGUACUUUUUGUUGGAAACAACUUGAC
rnacentral:lncRNA from 1 species